AGAGGCUCAAGAUAAUAGAAGUCGGCGUAAAGAGUGGUUAAGUAUUAAAAAACUAAAGUUAAACAUCUUCCAGGCUGUUAUACGGCACCCGAAGACAUGAAGUCCAUUUACGAAAGUGACUUUACAAAACUGAACCCACGAAAGCUAUGAAACAAACUGGGAUUAGAUACCCCACUAUGCAUAGCCUUAAACUAAAGUAUAGUAAUUACAACAUACUCGCCUGGGUACUACGAGCAUCAGCUUAAAACCCAAAGGACUUGGCGGUGCUUUACACCCACCUAGAGGAGCCUGUUCUAUAACUGAUAACCCCCGUUAAACCUCACCCUAUUUUGCUAAAUCAAUUUAUAUACCGCCGUCGUCAGCUUACCUUGUGAAAGAACAAUAGUGAGCAAAACUAGUUAUAACCCAAAACGUCAGGUCGAGGUGUAGUUUAUGAUAGGGAAAGAAAUGGGCUACAUUCAUUUAUUAAUGAAUACGGAUGGUAUAUUGAAACAUAAACCUAAAGGAGGAUUUAGCAGUAAGAAGAAAAUAGAGUGUUCAUCUGAAAUCGGCUCUAAAGCGCGCACACACCGCCCGUCACUCUCCCCAAUAAUAAAAUUAAAAUUAAUUAAAACCAAAAUAAAAUACAAGGGGAGGCAAGUCGUAACAUGGUAAGUGUACCGGAAGGUGUGCUUGGAAUACCAGAGCAUAGCUGAAGUAGUUAAAGCAUCUCA
rnacentral:rRNA from 1 species